UACGGAGGAGGCAAGCGUUAUCCUGAAUUAUUGGGCGUAAAGCGUCCGUAGGUGGCUCUUCAAGUCUGCUGUCAAAGACUGGGGCUUAACCCUGGAAAGGCGGUGGAAACUGAAGCGCUAGAGUGCGGUAGGGGUAGAGGGAAUUCCCGGUGUAGCGGUGAAAUGCGUAGAGAUCGGGAAGAACAUCGGUGGCGAAAGCGCUCUACUGGACCGCAACUGACACUCAGGGACGAAAGCUAGGGGAGCGAAUGGG
rnacentral:rRNA from 1 species